GGCACUGUGGCGGAGUGGUUAACGCGAUGCCCUGCUAUGGUUUAACCGAACCAAGUCAGGCAUUGCCUUCGGGCGCGUGAGUUCGAAUCUCACCGGUGUCG